rnacentral:rRNA from 1 species
AGUGAACGCUGGCGGUAGGCCUAAUACAUGCAAGUCGAACGGCAGCACAGUAAGAGCUUGCCCUUACGGGUGGCGAGUGGCGGACGGGUGAGGAAUACAUCGGCAUCUACUUUUUCGUGGGGGAUAACGUAGGGAAACUUACGCUAAUACCGCAUACGACCUACGGGUGAAAGCAGUGGAUCUUCGGACCUUGCGCGAUUGAAUGAGCCGAUGUCGGAUUAGCUAGUUGGCGGGGUAAAGGCCCACCAAGGCGACGAUGCGUAGCUGAUCUGAGAGGAUGAUCAGCCACACUGGAACUGAGACACGGUCCAGACUCCUACGGGAGGCAGCAGUGGGGAAUAUUGGACAAUGGGCGCAAGCCUGAUGCAGCCAUACCGCGUGAGUGAAGAAGGCCUUCGGGUUGUAAAGCCCUUUUGUUGGGAAAGAAAAGCAGCAGGUUUAUACCCCGCUGUUCUGACGGUACCCAAAGAAUAAGCACCGGCUAACUUCGUG